rnacentral:rRNA from 1 species
GAUGAACGCUGGCGGCGUGCUUAACACAUGCAAGUCGAACGGAAAGCUCCUGCUUGCAGGGGUACUCGAGUGGCGAACGGGUGAGUAACACGUGGGUGAUCUGCCCUGCACUUCGGGAUAAGCCUGGGAAACUGGGUCUAAUACCGGAUAGGACGAUGGUUUGGAUGCCAUUGUGGAAAGUUUUUUCGGUGUGGGAUGAGCUCGCGGCCUAUCAGCUUGUUGGUGGGGUAAUGGCCUACCAAGGCGUCGACGGGUAGCCGGCCUGAGAGGGUGUACGGCCACAUUGGGACUGAGAUACGGCCCAGACUCCUACGGGAGGCAGCAGUGGGGAAUAUUGCACAAUGGGCGCAAGCCUGAUGCAGCGACGCCGCGUGGGGGAUGACGGCCUUCGGGUUGUAAACUCCUUUCGCUAGGGACGAAGCGCAAGUGACGGUACCUGGAGAAGAAGCACCGGCUAACUACGUG